rnacentral:rRNA from 1 species
GACGAACGCUGGCGGCGUGCCUAAUACAUGCAAGUUGAGCGAUGAAGAUUGGUGCUUGCACCAAUUUGAAGAGCAGCGAACGGGUGAGUAACGCGUGGGGAAUCUGCCUUUGAGCGGGGGACAACAUUUGGAAACGAAUGCUAAUACCGCAUAACAACUUUAAACAUAAGUUUUAAGUUUGAAAGAUGCAAUUGCAUCACUCAAAGAUGAUCCCGCGUUGUAUUAGCUAGUUGGUGAGGUAAAGGCUCACCAAGGCGAUGAUACAUAGCCGACCUGAGAGGGUGAUCGGCCACAUUGGGACGGAGACACGGCCCAAACUCCUACGGGAGGCAGCAGUAGGGAAUCUUCGGCAAUGGACGAAAGUCUGACCGAGCAACGCCGCGGGAGUGAAGAAGGUUUUCGGAUCGUAAAACUCUGUUGGUAGAGAAGAACGUUGGUGAGAGUGGAAAGCUCAUCAAGUGACGGUAACUACCCAGAAAGGGACGGCUAACUACGUG